rnacentral:rRNA from 1 species
UACGGAGGGGACUAGCGUUGUUCGGAAUUACUGGGCGUAAAGCGCACGUAGGCGGAUUUGUAAGUCAGGGGUGAAAUCCCGGGGCUCAACCUCGGAACUGCCUUUGAUACUGCAAAUCUCGAGUCCGGAAGAGGUGAGUGGAAUUCCUAGUGUAGAGGUGAAAUUCGUAGAUAUUCGGAGAACACCAGUGGCGAAGGCGGCUCACUGGACCGGCAUUGACGCUGAGGUGCGAAAGCGUGGGGAGCAAACAGG